GUCGGGAAUUUUGGGCAAUGGGCGAAAGCCUGACCCAGCAACGCCGCGUGAAGGAUGAAGUAUUUCGGUAUGUAAACUUCGAAAGAAUGGGAAGAAUAAAUGACGGUACCAUUUAUAAGGUCCGGCUAACUACGUGCCAGCAGCCGCGGUAAUACGUAGGGACCAAGCGUUGUUCGGAUUUACUGGGCGUAAAGGGCGCGUAGGCGGCGUGUUAAGUCAGCUGUGAAAUCUCCGAGCUUAACUCGGAACGGUCAGCUGAUACUGAUGUGCUAGAGUGCAGAAAGGGCAAUCGGAAUUCUUGGUGUAGCGGUGAAAUGCGUAGAUAUCAAGAGGAACACCUGAGGCGAAGGCGGGUUGCUAGGCUGACACUGACGCUGAGGCGCGAAAGCCAGGGGAGCAAACGGGAUUAGAUACCCCAGUAGUCC
rnacentral:rRNA from 1 species